rnacentral:rRNA from 1 species
AUUGAACGCUGGCGGCAGGCCUAACACAUGCAAGUCGAACGAGUGGCGGACGGGAGAGUAAUGUCUGGGAAAAUGCCCGAGGGAGGGGGAUAACUACAGGAAACGGUAGCUAAUACCGCCUACCAUCGGAUGUGCCCAGAUGGGAUUAGCUAGGAGGGGGGGUAACGGCUCACCUAGGCGACGAUCCCUAGCUGGUCUGAGAGGAUGACAAGCCACACUGGACCUGAGCCACGGUCCAUACUCCUACGGGCGGCAGCAGUGGGGAAUAUUGCACAAUGGGCGCAAGCCUGAUGCAGCCCUGCCGAGUGUAUGAAGAAGGCCUUCGGGUUGUAAAGUACUUUCAGCGAGGAGGCGUUACUCGCAGAAGAAGCACCGGCUAACUCCGUGCCAGCAGCCGCGGUAAUUC